rnacentral:snRNA from 1 species
GUGCUCGCUUCGGCAGCACAUAUACUAAAAUUGGAACGAUACAGAGAAGAUUAGCAUGGCCCCUGCACAAGGAUGACAAAAAUAUUGAAAUUGUCCCAUGUAUC